rnacentral:lncRNA from 1 species
CACCAUAUCGUUACAUCUCUGUAAAUCCCUGAUAUGAACAAUCAGGCAGAAAAAAUAAAAUAAAAUAGCACCCCAGCAGGCUGACACAUAACAUUAUUAUUAUUCUACUACUGGAAAUAUAAAAUCGGAGGAGCAGGGAUGGGAGGCAUGUUAUCAGAUUUGGCACCGAGAACACGAGCCUUUGUGUCGGGGUUGUUAAGUAGUAAGGAUGGGAGGCAUGUAAUCAGAUUUGGCACCGAGAACACGAGCCUUUGUGUCAGGGAAGUACUCUGUUCCAGGCAGUUCUGUAACAUUUCCUUCGCUGGAAAUUCCAAUGGGGUAACGGAGCAAAUGACCUGGUAGAUCACCCUCAAGUGUCUCACU